rnacentral:rRNA from 3 species
GUGAGACAGGUGCUGCAUGGCUGUCGUCAGCUCGUGUUGUGAAAUGUUGGGUUAAGUCCCGCAACGAGCGCAACCCUUAUCCUUUGUUGCCAGCGGUCCGGCCGGGAACUCAAAGGAGACUGCCAGUGAUAAACUGGAGGAAGGUGGGGAUGACGUCAAGUCAUCAUGGCCCUUACGACCAGGGCUACACACGUGCUACAAUGGCGCAUACAAAGAGAAGCGACCUCGCGAGAGCAAGCGGACCUCAUAAAGUGCGUCGUAGUCCGGAUUGGAGUCUGCAACUCGACUCCAUGAAGUCGGAAUCGCUAGUAAUCGUGGAUCAGAAUGCCACGGUGAAUACGUUCCCGGGCCUUGUACACACCGCCCGUCACACCAUGGGAGUGGGUUGCAAAAGAAGUAGGUAGCUUAACCUUCGGGAGGGCGCUUACCACUUUGUGAUUCAUGACUGGGGUGAAGUCGUAACAAGGUAACCGUAGGGGAACCUGCGGUUGGAUCACC